rnacentral:rRNA from 1 species
CUGCUGCCUCCCGUAGGAGUCUGGGCCGUGUCUCAGUCCCAGUGUGGCCGUCCACCCUCUCAGUCCGGCUACUGAUCGUCGCCUAGGUGGGCCGUUACCCCGCCUACCAGCUAAUCAGACGCGAGGCCAUCUUCCAGCGAUAAAUCUUUGACAUGUCCGUGAUGCCACGGUCAUGUGUCAUGCGGUAUUAGCAGUCGUUUCCAACUGUUGUCCCCCUCUGGAAGGCAGGUUCCUCACGCGUUA